rnacentral:rRNA from 1 species
GACAGAGGAUGCAAGCGUUAUCCGGAAUGAUUGGGCGUAAAGCGUCUGUAGGUGGCUUUUUAAGUCUGCCGUCAAAUCCCAGGGCUUAACCCUGGACAGGCGGUGGAAACUACCAAGCUGGAGUACGGUAGGGGCAGGGGGAAUUUCCGGUGGAGCGGUGAAAUGCGUAGAGAUCGGAAAGAACACCAACGGCGAAAGCACUCUGCUGGGCCUGCACUGACACUGAGGGACGAAAGCUAGGGGAGCGAAAGGG